rnacentral:sRNA from 14 species
GCACCUGCAAAAUCAGGUGCCGGGAUUGGAACCCCGAAAUAUAACCAUACUGGCGACACGUGACGCGUCUGCGUCUUUUUU